AAAUUGAAGAGUUUGAUCAUGGCUCAGAUUGAACGCUGGCGGCAGGCCUAACACAUGCAAGUCGGGCGGUAACACAGGGAGCUUGCUCCUGGGUGACGAGCGGCGGACGGGUGAGUAAUGUCUGGGAAACUGCCUGAUGGAGGGGGAUAACUACUGGAAACGGUAGCUAAUACCGC
rnacentral:rRNA from 1 species